rnacentral:rRNA from 1 species
GACGAACGCUGGCGGCGCGCCUAACACAUGCAAGUCGAACGGAACUUAUAUUUAAGCGUUCUUCGGAACAAUUGGUAUAAGUUUAGUGGCGGACGGGUGAGUAACACGUGAGCAACCUGCCUUUGUGAGGGGGACAACAUUUGGAAACGAAUGCUAAUACCGCAUAAUGUGUACAUCCUGCAUGGGAAAUACACCAAAGAUUUAUCGCACAAAGAUGGGCUCGCGGCUGAUUAGAUAGUUGGCGGGGUAACGGCCCACCAAGUCGACGAUCAGUAGCCGGACUGAGAGGUUGAUCGGCCACAUUGGGACUGAGACACGGCCCAGACUCCUACGGGAGGCAGCAGUGGGGGAUAUUGCACAAUGGGGGAACCCUGAUGCAGCGACGCCGCGUGAGGGAAGAAGGUUUCGGAUUGUAAACCUCUAGUCUUGU